UUUGCUUCUUGACCUUUUGGCAAGGAUGAAGUGUAGCAUAUAUUUUUAUCAGUUUAAUAUCUGUUAUGUCCUGAGCUUGAGGAUUUUAAAUUAAAUGAGUUUGGGGACUGGGAAACGUACUAGGAGCUUACACUGUCCUCUCCAUGCAUGAGAUCAGCUAUUGCUGUAUUGCUAGAAAUGUGUGAAAUGAA